rnacentral:tRNA from 1 species
AUUUAGAAAGAAAUAAAUUUAGUAUAUUAUAUAUAUAUAUUAAAUAAAUAUCUAAAUUUAAGUGUAUCAUUUACAAUGAUAAGAUGUUUUUUAACUUUAUUUAAA